UACAGGGGGUGCAAACGUUGCUCGGAAUUAUUGGGCGUAAAGCGCGCGUAGGCGGCUACUUAUGUCGGAUGUGAAAGCCCUUGGCUCAACUGAGGAAGUGCACCCGAAACUGAGUAGCUGGAGUACGAAAGAGGGUCGCGGAAUUCCCGGUGUAGAGGUGAAAUUCGUAGAUAUCGGGAGGAACACCAGUGGCGAAGGCGGCUCACUGGUCCGGUACUGACGCUGAGGUGCGAAAGCGUGGGGAGCAAACAGG
rnacentral:rRNA from 1 species